rnacentral:misc_RNA from 1 species
GUAGGUGAACCUGCGGAAGGAUCAUUAUCGAGGCCCUCGGGCCGUUGGACAUGACAAACCUCUGUGAACCGUGCCUCCGGGCUUUACCAAACUUGAAGUGUGACGAACGUGAUGACAUGGGAAAUAUAACACAACUUUCAACAAUGGAUCUCUUGGCUCUC